rnacentral:ncRNA from 1 species
AAAUUGAAGAGUUUGAUCAUGGCUCAGAUNNNNNNNNNNACGCUGGCGGCAAACACAUGCAAGUCGAGCGGCAGCGGGAAGUAGCUUGCUACUUUGCCGGCGAGCGGCGGACGGGUGAGUAAUGCCUGGGGAUCUGCCCAGUCGAGGGGGAUAACUACUGGAAACGGUGGCUAAUACCGCAUGCGCCCUACGGGGGAAAGCAGGGGACCUUCGGGCCUUGCGCGAUUGGAUGAACCCAGGUGGGAUUAGCUUGU